CAAAUAAGGUCACAUUCUGAGGACUGGGGUUUCAGACUUCAGUGUGUCUUUUGAGGGGACAUGAUUCAACAACCCGUUACGGGCGUUUGUCAAAUUAUUCUCCAAAAAUUUUAAGAUGUCUUAAAUAUUGCAUUACACGAAAAGUCACAGAGAGGACUCCUCAGUAAGCCAAGCGCAGGAUUCCCACAGGACCAGCCAACCCGCUCCGGGGCGCCACCCAGAAGAACUGAAAGCAGGUGUUCAAACCCCUGUACACGCAUCACAGCAAGACUCACAGAAGCCAACAGGGGUGAAUCUUGAAAACCUGAUGCUCAGUGAAAGAUGCCGGCCAGCCACAAAAGACCGCACACGUGAGGCUCCGUUUAUACGAAACGACCAGAACAGGUAGGCUCCACACCCAGCAUGGGGCUUGAACUCAUGACCCCAAGAUCAGGAGUCACCAGCUCCACGGACUGAACGACCAGGUGUCCCUUGUUUUUUCUUAGCAACAUAAAGAUUUCUCAAUACCUAGCCCUCACUAGGGGGGCCUGGGUGGCUCAGUUGGUUAUGUGGUUAUGUGUCUAACUCUUGGUUUCAGCUUAGGUCAUGAUCUCAGGGUCAUGAGACGGAGCCCGGGGAAGGCCUCUGCACUCAGCACGGA